UCGCUCUCUCGCGCUCUUUCCGGGCGGCGGGGCGGCGGGGAUGGCUGCGUCCGUGGCUGUUCCGCGCGGCCCGGGGUCCGCGGCCCCGGCGCACCCGCCUGCCGGUUUGGAGCCUCCGGGUGGCGCGCGCCGUGGAGAGGCGGCGGGGAUGGUCGCGGCUCCCCCCGAUCGCGGCCCGCAUGCGUCUGACGGCCGGAGGUAGGAGCCGGCGCAGGGCCGAGUGGGGAAGUUGAGAGCUCGGUGCUUGGCAGCCAGACAGGAUGGGGCCACGUGCUCAAGGCAGAACCACCUGGUUCCAGUCUGAUGGGGCUCCUGUGGACCAGCCCGGCGCCACCUCUGGUGGAGAGCAGAGCGCGUGGAACAGGCUGCCUGGCUCACAUCACAGCAGACGGACAGACAGAUGCACCUUGUGCUGCUGGUGGCAGCACCUCCUGCGGGCGGGGCUGGGCGCCUUGGCAGAAGCGCAGGCGGGUGGAGUCGUUUGUGCCGGAUGCUGGGGAGGCAGCAGAUGCACCGCUGGCCGCUGUUGCUGGGGACAGCCAUUCACAUGUUCCGAGGGGCAAGGUGCCAGGUGACCCUGCAAUUACAUGCGUGUGUCCAGGUUCUUGAAUAAAGGAAACCAUGUUUGUUCACUGAC